rnacentral:rRNA from 1 species
AACUUUCAACAACGGAUCUCUUGGUUCUGGCAUCGAUGAAGAACGCAGCAAAAUGCGAUAAGUAAUGUGAAUUGCAGAAUUCAGUGAAUCAUCGAAUCUUUGAACGCACAAUGCGCCCGCCAGUAUUCUGGCGGGCAUGCCUGUUCGAGCGUCAUUU